UACCCUGAUUCUGCCUCCGCCUGUCA
rnacentral:piRNA from 1 species